AACGAACGCUGGCGGCAGGCUUAACACAUGCAAGUCGAACGCAUCCUUCGGGGGGAGUGGCAGACGGGUGAGUAACGCGUGGGAACGUGCCCUUCAGUUCGGGAUAAACCAGGGAAACUUGGGCUACUGCCGGAUACGUGCGAGAGCAGAAAGAUUUAUCGCUGAAGGAUCGGCCCGCGUCUGAUUAGCUAGUUGGUGGGGUAAUGGCCCACCAAGGCGACGAUCAGUAGCUGGUCUGAGAGGAUGAUCAGCCACAUUGGGACUGAGACACGGCCCAAACUCCUACGGGAGGCAGCAGUGGGGAAUAUUGGACAAUGGGCGCAAGCCUGAUCCAGCCAUGCCGCGUGAGUGAUGAAGGCCUUAGGGUUGUAAAGCUCUUUCGUCCGGGACGAUAAUGACGGUACCGGAGGAAGAAGCCCCGGUUAACUUCGUGCCAGCAGCCGCAGUAA
rnacentral:rRNA from 1 species